rnacentral:rRNA from 1 species
UGAGGAAUAUUGGUCAAUGGGCGGGAGCCUGAACCAGCCAAGCCGCGUGAGGGAGGAAGGCCCUAUGGGUCGUAAACCUCUUUUGUCAGGGAACAAAAGCGAGUAUGUAUACUAGUCUGAGUGUACCUGAAGAAAAAGCAUCGGCUAACUCCGUGCCAGCAGCCGCGGUAAUACGGAGGAUGCGAGCGUUAUCCGGAUUUAUUGGGUUUAAAGGGUGCGUAGGCGGCGGUGCAAGUCAGCGGUAAAAGCCCGGGGCUCAACCCGCGAGCCGUUGAACUGCAGUGCUAGAGAAGGCGAGAGGUACGCGGAAUGCGCAGUGUAGCGGUGAAAUGCUUAGAUAUUGCGCAGAACUCCGAUUGCGAAGGCAGCGUACUGGCGCCUGACUGACGCUGAGGCACGAAAGCGUGGGGAUGAACAGAUAGAUACC